UUAACUUAAAUUUGUAUGGCGUUGAAACGUUUGCCUACGUUUGCCGCUAGGGGCGCUGUUCCAACUGCAUACAAAAUUGAGCGA
rnacentral:pre_miRNA from 1 species